CCGGAGUUCGCAGCGCGCACCGCGGCGUCCCCUGGGAAGUGUAGUCGGCGUGGGGCCCGAGGCAUGCCGGGAGUGGUAGUUCUCCCGCGGUUGGCGGGGUUUCGGGGACAGCUCGCGGCCUUUCGGGGGGUUCUCCUGGCUUGGGCCAUCCAGGCUUGGCUAGGAUUGCCGGCCUGGGGUUGAGGCGCUCGCAGUGGUCUCUUCCGGGCCGGGGUGGAUCCGGGCCUCUCCAGCGAGUGGGCGGCGUGCAGCCUCGUCUGGGCUUCUGGGACCAGCCCUACGCGGCUCGGGCCCCUUGGCCACUGGGUCCCGGGGCGCCGUCCGCGAGCGGCCUGGACUGCCGGAGACCCGCGGGAGGGAGCGCCUCGCCAGACCCACCGUGUCCACACUCUGCUCUCCCUGGGUAGGAAGACUGAGGAGGAAGGGAUGGCUGUGGAUCUGCUGUCUGCUCAGG
rnacentral:lncRNA from 1 species